rnacentral:lncRNA from 1 species
AAGCUUAAUGGCCAGGCGUGGUGGCUCACACCUGUAAUCCCAGCACUUUGGGAGGCUGAGGUGGGCAGGUCACCUGAGAUCAGGAGUUUGAGACCAGCCUGGCCAACAUGGCGAAACCCCAUCUCUACUAAAAAUACAAAAAAAUUAGCCAGGCAUAGUGGUGCGCACCUGUAAUCCCACCUACUUGGGAGGCUGAGGCAGAAGAAUUGCUUGAACCUAGGAGGCAGGGAGGUUGCAGUGAGAUGAGAUCACACCACUGCACUCCAGCCUGGGCAACAGAGUGAGACUCAGUCUCAAAAAAAAAAAAAAAAAAAAAGCUUAAUAGGACAAACUGGCCUUGUGUGCCUUCUGAUGUGAUGCACUGGGAAGGACACACACACGGGGAGUACAUUUCUGUAGUAGUCCUCCCCAAAAUGCCCAAAAAAUGUUCACUCACCACCUAGUCUUGAGGAAAUAGAGAUCAAAGUGAGAGAGAUUCUGCAAAAUGAUUGGUCUGGACACUUUACAGAUGUCGUUGUUAUAAAACAUUAAGAAAAAGCUAAGAACUACCCCAGAUUAAAGGAGACAUAAAAAAUAAAUACAGGCCAGACACAGUGGCUCAUGCCUUUAAUCCCAGCACUUUGGGAGGCUGAGGUCGGUGGAUUGCUUGAACUCAGGAAUUCAAGACCAGCCUGGGCAAUAUAGCAAAACCCCAUCUCUACUAAAAAAUACAAAAAAAAAAAAUUGCUGAACAUGGUGGUGGACACCUGUAGUCCCAGCUAUUCUGGAGGCAGUGGUCGAAGAAUCGCUUGAACCCGGGUAGGUG